GACGAACGCUGGCGGCGUGCCUAAAACAUGCAAGUCGAACGAUCCAGUUUACUGGAUAGUGGCGAACGGCGGAGUAAGACAUAAGCAACGUGCCCUAAAGACCGGGAUAGUCAGUGGAAACGCUGGGUAAUACCGGAUGUGGCCACUCUUUGGCAUCAUUGAGUGAUCAAAUGGUUUUUUCGUCUUUAGGUAGCGGCUUAUGGCCUAUCAGGUAGUUGGUGGGGUAAGUGGCCUACCAAGCCGACGACGGGUAGCGGGUCUGAGAGGAUGAUCCGCCCGAGUGGGACUGAGACACGGCCCACACACCUACGGGUGGCAGCAGUUGGGAAGUCUUUGCACAAUAGGGGGGAAACCCCGUGAUGCAGCGACGCCGCGUGGAGGAUGAAGGAUUUAGGUCUGUAAACUCC
rnacentral:rRNA from 1 species